AUAGUCACUCCCUACUUCCCCCUCCCCACAAAUCCUAGGCAACCAGUAAUCUACUUUCUGUCUGUAUAGAUUUGCCUAUUAUGGACAUUUCAUGUUAUUCAUUUCAUGGUCUCCUGUGACUGGAUUCUUUCACUUAGGAUAAUGUUUUGAAGGUACACCCAUGUUGUAGCAUGUAUCGGUACUUCAUUAUUAUUUCUGGAUAAUACCUCAUUGUAUGGAUAUACCUCAUUUUGUUUAUCCAUUCAUCAGUUAGUGGACGUUUGGGUUGUGUCCACUUUUGGCUAUUAUGAAUAAUGCUGCUGUGAAUAUCUGUAUGUAAGUAUUUGUGUACCUGUUUUCAGUUCUUUUAUGUAUAUACUAGAAAUAUAGUUGCUGGGUCAUGUGGUAACUAUGUUUUGCUUUUUGAGGAACUGCCAAGCUGUUCUCCAAAAUGGUUGCAUUAUUUUACAUUCUUGUAAGCAAGGUACCAGAGUUUCAGUUUCUCCGCAUCUUUAUCAACAUUUGUUAUUAUCUUUCCUUUUUUACUACUGUCAUCCUGAUAGAUGUUAAGUGAUAUCUCAUUGUGGUUUUGAUUUGCUGAUAGCUAAUGAUGCUGAGCAUCUUUCCCAUGUGCUCUCAUUAACCGUAUGUGUGUUUUCUUUGGAGGAAUGCCCAUUCAGAUCCUUUGCCCAUUUUUAAUUGGGCUAUUUGACUUUUUAUUCUUAAAUUGUAAGAGUUCUUUCUGUGUUCUGGAUACCAGUACCCUAUAUCUGGUAUGUGAUUUCCAAGUAUUUUCUCCACUCUCUAAGUUGUCUUUUCACUUUCUUGAUGGUAUCAUUUUUAGCACAAAAGUCUUUAAUUCUGAUGAAACCCAAUUUACCUAUUUUUCCUUUGGUCAUUUAUGCUUUUGGUGUCAUAUCUAAGAAACUAUUGUUUAGUCCCAAGUUUUCUUCUAGUAUGUUUAUAACAUACUACCUCUUACAUUUAGGUCUUUGAUUCAUUUUGCAUUAAUUUUUGUAUAUGGUAUAUUAGUCCAUUUUCACUACUGAUAAAGACAUACCUAAGACUGGGCAAUUUACAGAAGAAAGAGGUUUAAUUGUAGUUACAACUCCACAUGGCAGGGGAAGCCUCACAAUCAUGGCAGAAGGCAAGGAGGAGCAAGUCACGUCUUACAUGAAUGGCAGCAGGCAAAAGAGAGAAACUGUGCAGGGAAACUCCCAUUUUUAAAACCAUCAGAUCUCAUGAGACCCAUUCACUACCACAAGAACGGCACAGGAAAGACCUGCCCCCAUGAUUCAGUCAUCUACCACUGGGUCCUUCCCACAAAACAUGGGAAUUAUGGGAGCUACCAGAUGAGAUUUGGGUGGGGACAAAGAGUCAAACCAUAUCAGUGUGAGGUCAGGGUCCAAGGUCAUCCUUUUGCAUGUUGUUCUCCAGUUGUCCCAGGACCAUUUGUUGAAAAGAACUUUCCUCUAUUUGCUGCAUUCUUUCUUUCUUUGCUGCCUAGAGCCUUUCCCUGCUCUUCGCCCUUCUGUUACUCGUAUUUUAAGUCAAGUCUCAGCUCAGCGGUUACCCCUUCUAAGAGGCUAUCCCUGAUCGUCCCUCUGUGUGUGUGAGAGAGCCCCCUCAUGCUUUAAUCCUGAUGUUUAUCAUUGUAGGAUUUCAGCUGUUCAUCUUCCCCACUUGUUUUCCAGGCCAGGUCUUGGGAGACAGGGGCUGUGUGCUUAACAUCUUACAUUACUUAAUAUGCACUUAUAUAUAUUCAACUUCAGGGGGAAGGGGAGAUAGUACUUGAAUCACAGUGUAAUCUUCCAUUACCUGUGAACUCUAGAUUGUACAGAAAAUCCGGUUAUAACUUGUAAUUCUUUGAGUACAUCAGUAAUGCACCUUAGGUUUAAUGUGAGGAACAGGACUGAUAGUUCUCUUCAACCUAAACAUCCACUGGUAGACAGGGAAAAGCCCAGCACCCGCUCCCUGCCCCUUCUCCCUGAACCAUGGAAUGUAAGUCCUUUCAUUAGGCUACUGGGCCAAUAUUUAGACCUAAGCUCAUGGCUGGACCAAUAGUAGCCUUCAUAGAUGCCAAUGCCCUUCCUUGAUGGGCUUCAGUGAGGACUCCUGACCAAUCACUGACGAGGGGGGUGGGAGGACUUCUGAUGGGGGAGUUGGCCUCCCUGGUCCUACACCUGCCUGGAGAAGGAGCCAAAGCCACUUAAGCAAAACUGAGCAGCAGCCCACAGUGUCCAUCUACCAUGUCACCCCAGUGCUGAGCGAUUUCUAAAAGGUUACUUUUUUCAAUUAUUUAAAAAAACACCGAAAAUUCAAGUAAUACGGAAAUAAGUAAAGGAGAAAGUCCCCUGUAAUUUUUCAUAGAGAAAGAGGAAGGAAUGGGGGGCAGCUGUGUAAGUCAAACAUGUUUGUAAAACUCCGUGAGUUUGAAACUAGUAAAAUAGAAAGUGAAAACCUGCUAUAAUUAUGGUGGAAUUGAGGGUGUCUUAUUGUGUUACUAGAGAAUUUUUUAAAGUAGGUUUUUAACAUUUUGACCUUGUUAAAAUGCUCCACUUUUCAAAACAGUCCUGACAGGAUAUCCUGCUUCCUUCCACGCAGAAGAGGUGGUUUGUGCAGAAGAGCAGGCCUCAGAAUGCUUUGCACAUGAGAGGAAUGGCAAGAGUUGCCUAUCACUGAGGAUUUGGGGAGGAGGGAUCACAGGAUAUGGGACUGAAAAUGAGACAGGGCCAGAUAGCAAAAGGCCUUGAAUGCUACACUAAGCACGAAGCAGCUCCUUAAUUUGUGCAUCACUGAAGCAAGAAUAGAGUGGAGGACAUGGCCCGUGUGGUCCUCAUGUUCUGAGUGGCUAUGACAUGGAGUUCUGUGUGAGCUCUCCAUGAAGAAAAUCCCGUCUCCAGGCAGUCAGUGGAGAUUUGAUCCUUACCACAAGAGCACGUGGACAAAUUUGAAUUAUCGUGGAUGUAUAUGGGCAGAAGAAGGUCUCAGAGCCAUAAGGGUGGGGCCCUGUUAGCUCUGUUGGUUCCACUCAGCAACCCACAGUGUGAGUGGGACCCUGCCAGCCCUGCUAGACGUGAGCAUUGUCUGGUGACACUGGCCCCCGCCUUCAUUACUGCAGCAAAGGAAGUGUGGCUAUGGCAGUUGUGGGUUUUGUAUUUUCUAUUUAAAUAUGUCCCUUAAUGUGCCAGUUGUUAAAAAGACUACCAGUGGGCUCUGAAGGGAUGCCUGGACACUUUGAAAGUGUGGUUCAGAUGUGAAAUUGCACUUAAAAGAUGUUUUAAGAGAGACGAGGGCACGUUGAUGUCAGUUUCGGUUUGGGCUGUGUAGUAGCAGCAUUUUGAACUUGGCCCUCUCUCCUUUCUGAGAGCUAAAAACCUUAUCUCCCUGCGGAUGGCAUUGCGUGCAGUUAAUUAUGGCCAGAUGGACUCAGCCGCUUCUUCAUCGUCUUCUCUCGGACUCUGCAGACCUACACCGUGCCUUUAAAGGAAGCAGGGCCCUCCCUGCUGAAGCAUUCAGUGAGCCCAGGCACCAGCACCUUCAAACCGAGUCUUUUCUCUCCUUAGUGCUGCUCCCCGCUUUCCAGGCCUUCCUGGGAUAUCUUAGAGCUCCUGAAGGUGGGGCGCUCCCCUCGAGGCAUUUUCUUCUGAGCUGUGAGCUACGGGCAAGCAGUGGAGGGGGAAGAGAGCAGCUGAAGCAGAUGCCGGUUCAACUUAUUUAAAGAUGUGGGACAAGCUCUGAGGAAGCCCCCAAGACAAUGAUGUCUGGUUGUGCACCAUUGAAGCAAGAACAGAAACCAUCCCAGAGUGGAGGACAUGGCCCAUGUGGUCCUCCUGUUCUGAGUGGCUGUGAGAUGGAGUUCCGUGUGAGCUCUCUACAGAAAAAGCCCUGUCUCCAGGCAGUCAGUGGAGAUUUGUUAAACGAGUUGAAACAGAAGAGGACAAGGAAUUGCUGUGGCUUUAGACAUUGCCAGGGCAUGUAGAAACUCACUCAGGAUUUACUACUGCAUCCACUGUGACUUAGGCGCAGGAGGGGUCACAGUCAGAAGAGAGCUCAGACAUAUGCUCAGCAAGUCUUGCAGAAGGAAUGUCGUCCCAAGUUUGCCAAGACAUCAAUGGCGCUGUUAUUUGAGCACAGGUAUAGCGUGGACUUACUCCCUUUUGUGCAGAAGGCCCCCAAAGACAGUGAAGCUGAGUCCAAGUACGAUCCUCCUUUUGGGUUCCGGAAGUUCUCCAGUAAAGUCCAGACCCUCUUGGAACUCUUGCCAGAGCACGACCUCCCUGAACACUUGAAAGCCAAGACCUGUCGGCGCUGUGUGGUUAUUGGAAGCGGAGGAAUACUGCACGGAUUAGAACUGGGCCACACCCUGAACCAGUUCGAUGUUGUGAUAAGGUUAAACAGUGCACCAGUUGAGGGAUAUUCAGAACAUGUUGGAAAUAAAACUACUAUAAGGAUGACUUAUCCAGAGGGCGCACCACUGUCUGACCUUGAAUAUUAUUCCAAUGACUUAUUUGUUGCUGUUUUAUUUAAGAGUGUUGAUUUCAACUGGCUUCAAGCAAUGGUAAAAAAUGAAACCCUGCCAUUCUGGGUACGACUCUUCUUUUGGAAGCAGGUGGCAGAAAAAAUCCCACUGCAGCCAAAACAUUUCAGGAUUUUGAAUCCAGUUAUCAUCAAAGAGACUGCCUUUGACAUCCUUCAGUACUCAGAGCCUCAGUCAAGGUUCUGGGGCCGAGAUAAGAACGUCCCCACAAUCGGUGUCAUUGCCGUUGUCUUAGCCACACAUCUGUGCGAUGAAGUCAGUUUGGCGGGUUUUGGAUAUGACCUCAGUCAACCCAGAACACCUUUGCACUACUUCGACAAUCAGUGCAUGGCUGCUAUGAACUUUCAGACCAUGCAUAAUGUGACAACGGAAACCAAGUUCCUCUUAAAGCUGGUCAAAGAGGGAGUGGUGAAAGAUCUCAGCGGAGGCAUUGAUCGUGAAUUCUGAACAUAGAAAACCUCAGUUGAAAAUGCAACUCUAACUCUGAGAGCUGUUUUUGACAGCCUUCUUGAUGUAUUUCUCCAUCCUGCAGAUACUUUGAAGUGCAGCUGAAGUUUUUAACUUUUAAUUUAAAAACACACAAAAAAUUUUAGCUCUUCCCACUUUUUUUUCCCUAUUUAUUUGAGGUCAGUGUUUGUUUUUGCACACCAUUUUGUAUAUGAAACUUAAGAAUUGAAUUGGAAAGACUUCUCAAAGAGAAUUGUAUGUAACGAUGUUGUAUUGAUUUUUAAGAAAGUAAUUUAAUUUGUAAAACUUCUGUUCGUUUACACUGCACAUUGAAUACAGGUAACUAAUUGGAAGGAGAGGGGAGGUCACUCUUUUGAUGGUGGCCCUGAACCUCAUUCUGGUUCCCUGCUGCGCUGCUUGGUGUGACCCACGGAGGAUCCACUCCCAGGAUGACGUGCUCCGUAGCUAUGCUGCUGAUACAGGGUCUGCGAUACAGUGGCGUGAGGCCUGGGCUGGUCGGAGAAGGGCACAACCCUUCUCUGUUGGUCUGCCUUCUGCUGAAAGACUCAAGAACCAACCAGGGAAGCUGUCCUGGAGGUCCCUGGUCGGGGAGGGACAUAGAAUCUGUGACCUCUGACAACUGUGAAGCCACCCUGGGCUGCAGAAACCACAGUCUUCCCAGCAAUUAUUACAAUUCUUGAAUUCCUUGGGGAUUUUUUACUGCCCUUUCAAAGCACUUAAGUGUUAGAUCUAACGUGUUCCAGUGUCUGUCUGAGGUGACUUAAAAAAUCAGAACAAAACUUCUAUUAUCCAGAGUCAUGGGAGAGUACACCCUUUCCAGGAAUAAUGUUUUGGGAAACACUGAAAUGAAAUCUUCCCAGUAUUAUAAAUUGUGUAUCUAAAAAAAAGAAACUUUUCUGAAUGCCUACCUGGCGGUGUAUACCAGGCAG
rnacentral:sRNA from 1 species